CCUUCAAAAUACGUCAAGCUGGGAGCAGGAAAGUCAGGAAUGUAUUUCCUGAUUGAAUCCCAGGUAUGAACAUCACUUUUCCCCACCACCAACCCUCCUCUGACCACAAAAUACUCUGUUUUAAAGCUGAUUUUUGCACAUGACGCCAUCACAUGUUUUCCAGAUGGGCUGAGGGCAUCCCUGGAGAUGGGGGUUCCUGCAGAAAUCCUCCCUCGGGCUUCAACUCCCUAAAUCCCUUUGGAAAAAGCCUUUCCAACACUGACCUCUGCAGGAGAGGAACUGCCUAAAACCAGCUGACUCUGGGCAACAAUAACCUAAAUAAUACAUAAACCGUGUGUUUCCUGCUGGCUGUGGCCCACGGUGUGCCCACCCCGUGCCCACCACUCACAUGAGCCGGUUGCGGAUGGGGCGGAAGUGUUUGUUCAGGUACUGGGUGAAGUAUCUCAGCUCCUUCCUCGUGAAGCAACCGAUCUCCUGGGAAGGGGGAAGGCAGCGUGGAGGGACAGUGCCACGAUUUCCAGCCCUGCUCCAACCACCUCUGGGCUAAUGUCAGACUUGGAACAAGAGCUGGAAGCUUCAGGUGCUCCUUCCCCUCUUGCGCUCUUUCCUUCUGGAAUUUUGUACCCCCUGAGGGCUCAUCCAGCCCCGUCUCACCUGCCGCAGGAUCUGCUGGGCUUGCACGGGCAGCCGGGCUUCCACCGAGGCCGUGGUGGCCAGUGUCCUCUUCACCCGCUCCUGGGGGGGCACAGCAAGAGCAUCCUUAGAGCAGGGAGCAGCAGGAUGGGUGCCCCAGGGUGCUGGGAGCAGGGCGUGCCAAGCUCUAAGCUGGGUCCAGUUCCCAGAGGGCAGGGAAAGAGGGAUGUGCCCCUGUUGCAGGGGGAUUUCUGAUUUGCAGCAGCAAAUCUAAUCACCAAAGGAGAUUGAUCCUCCCUGGAUGGUGUUUUUCCUGGCUCUCCCAUCACCCUGUAACUGGUGUUUUUCCUGGCUCUCCCAUCACCCUGUAACUGGGUUUUUUGGGGGAUACUGGCAGACAGGACCCACAGGGCACCACAUAUUUUUUGGAGCUGGAAGAAGGCGUGGAAGUACCUUGAGAUGUGGUGCCAAGCGGGAGAGGAACUGGACGCUUUCCCCCAGCUUUGCCUGUGGGACAGUGAGGUGAGAAGGAUGAAAAAGCCUUCAAAGGGACACCACUGGGCAGUGCCAGUGGUACCACAAGCCACCAGCCCGGCACAGACUCACCACCAAAGCCUCCUGUGACUGCACUGUGGAGUUUUGCAUCUGCCACAGGGCUCGGGCCUCGGCUCCCAGCCGUCCUGCCACCGUGCUGUUCCUCUGCGGGGGACAGUGGGGUGAGGACACCCCCAUGGGCACAGAGGGAUCCCCCAAGGGCAUGGAGAGAUUCCCCACCACCCACCCUGCUGCUCACCUGCAUUUUCUGCAGCCCCUCGAGGUUCCUGGCCAAGCCAGGCAGGCUGGUCUGCACCAAGGGGUUUUUCAUCUGAGAGAAAACAGAGUCGGUGGCUGCCCAAAAUCCAAACCUGGAGGACUGUCCCGGUAUGGGGCUGCAUCCUGCUCCCUGCAGAGGGAUCCAGCUCCCCUCACCUCCUCCUGGAAGCGCCCAUAGUCCACCUCGUCCAGGCCGCUGCGGGCGAAGGUCUCCAGGUCCUGCCUGCCCUCGCUGCGCAGGAGCCGCACGUCCCCCAGGUGGGCAGUGAAGUCUCCCAGGCGUUUUUGGAAGUCAGCCGUGUACUGUGAGGGUUGGACAAGGGGUCCUGCAGGGCUGAGGCCAGGCACCUCCAUCCCAGUAACCCCAGUAAAGCUCCUGCAUCCCUGAGCCGUUACCAGCAGCUCUGGCUGGUGCUGCCCUCACCUUGGGGGUUUUCAGGUGCUCAUCCAGGUCGUAGGACCUGUCGAGCUGCAGCACCUCCCACAGCCCUGCACCGCUCUUGCAGUCCCUGGAAGGCAAAGGGGUGUUGGCAGCAUGAUCCCAAAUUUGCCCUGGAUGUGCAGGGACAGGGGUGGGCUCUUGCAGCACCCACCGGUAUGUGGCACUGAGGUUGGAGUCCCUCCUCAGGUUGAGCUGGCGGGUGAGGUUCAUGGAUGGAGGGAGAUUCCCAGGGGUGUCAAUGAACUGGGCCAAACAGGAGGAAAGAGAGGGUCAGGGUCAGGCACAGGCAUUCCCAGCAAUGAUUCUGGGGGUGCUCUGCCCUCACAGUUGUGUCCUGAGGUACCUCAUCCCAUCCAGAACUAAUCUUGCCUUUAUUUGUACGGUCCCCCCUGCAGAGACUCACCCAGUGUGUUCAGAGGGAAAGCAGUGGACAGCCCUGUGCUGGGACCUGCCUGCAUGUGUCCAGCCAUGGGAUGAGUCCUGAUCCCAUCCUCAAUCCCCCAACCCCUCUCUCAGCACCAUCACACCAUGUGCCAGCCCCAAGCACCCCAGAGAUCCCCAAGGACCAGGGAACAGGGAUCCCACAGGUAGCAAAUAAACAGCCUGAAGGAAUUUCCCUGCUGCUGAUGCAAAUCCAGGGACAUCAUCCUAAACUUAAUCUUCUGGUCUAGGAUGGGGCUUUUCCAGUCAGGUUUAGUGGGAGGAUUAGUGGGAGGACAAAGAGUGUUUGGAGGCAUUUUGGAGCACACAAGCAGAGAUUUAUGUGGCGACAGGUGCAUGUGUGGCCACCCACCUUAUAAAUCUCCUGGUUGACCCAAUUCCUGCAAACCAGAGUCUGGAUGUUGCCCCCAACCAGGAAGGUGGCGAAAACGAGGAGGAUGAGGAGCCAGGAGAACAGGAAAGCCAGGCCCACGCCGCUGCAGGAGGGAGAGGAGGGGGUGGGUCUGCAGCCCCGAGAGGGCAGGACAGGGGCUUGCAGGGACCUGCCCGUCCAGCUGCAGCCCUGGGGCUCCUUCCCGAGCCCGGGCACGCUGGGCUGGGAAGGGCCCUGGGAGUGGGGUGUGCCAGGCAGCGGGGCCAGGGCACAGGAGCUGCCAGCUCCCAGGGAGGAGCCGCUUCUCCCACUCCUCCCGGCGCAGGCGGUGGCAUCAAAAGCCUUUCCACUGGGCUGCCUCCCAGUUCCUCCCUGGGCUUUGCCCUCCUGGGUUUUUUUGGGGGGAUGAGAUGGAACAGUCCCUUUGGGACACAGGGGGAUGCUUACACCAGGAGGAACUUGGCACCAGCCUCUCCUCGGCACUCGUAGUCACUCGGGUCCUCACGCUUGGAAAGCCCGUAGGCUCCCAGAGCCAUUCCCAUCACGUUGCAGGCAAGGAUGAGGAGGAUGAUGGAGCACAGCACCGUGCCCGCGAUCCACCUGGGGGCAGAGCAGCAGGGCACAGCCUCGAGAGAGUAUCCUGUCUGUUUAAUCCUGAGAACCAGCUGAGGAACAGCUUUGUAUCACAAGACCACUACGUAAAGGAGAGUAAGGUGCAUCACUUCAGAAAAGGAAGGGCAGCACUCAAUGUGCUUGAUAAACAACGACUUCAAAGUCUCUAAAUCCAUUAACUUGAUGUUACCACAGUUCAGUUUAGCAGCACGUUGAGUGUAAUAUUUCUCAAAGUUGCUUCAA